GUGCACCAGUCGAGAAACUUCACACUGCGCGAAAGCGCGAUGAGGGAAUCCCAAGUGCUUGCACGUAAGUGUAAGCUGUUUCCCUGUCUAAAAGCAGAGAGAGUAAGGGCUGGGUAAGACGGGUGCCAGCCGCCGCGGUAAUACCUGCAGCUCAAGUGGUGGCCGCUAUUAUUGGGGCCUAAAACGUCCGUAGCCGGUCUGGUAAAUGCCUGGGUAAAUCGUGAGGCUUAACCUUACGAAUUCCGGGUAGACUGCUAGACUUGAGACCGGGAGAGGCUAGAGGUACUCCUGGGGUAGGGUGAAAUUCUGUAAUCCUAGGGGACCACCAGUGGCGAAGGCGUCUAGCUAGAACGGGUCUGACGGUGAGGGACGAAGCCCUGGGGCGCAAACCGGAUUAGAUACCCGUGUAGU
rnacentral:rRNA from 1 species